rnacentral:lncRNA from 1 species
GGGAGUAGAUAGAAUUGUCUAUAUGGCUUAGCUCUCCUUCACUUGAUAUGUCAUCCUCGACUUCUUCAUGAUAGGAACCAGGAUAUUCUCUAAGAGAAACAUUAUUGCAAGGAUUUGAAUUAUCCCUGCUUGAAGGUCUCUUAUAGAACCAGAAGUCUAAACCAUCAGCAUCUAAAAGAUUUAAGGUUGGAACUCCUUCCUCUCUUGGAGAAUUUUGGGGUAUUGAUGGUUUAGGAUCGAUAGCUAAAGUUUGGGAUUGAAGUGGUUGUGAUCUGGCUAUCGAAACUUCUUCUUCUUGCCUAGGAACUGGUUCUUUCUCUUUCUCAGGGAUAUAAAAGCUAGGAGACUUUCCGCUCAUUAAAUCAAUCAAAUUCCAAGCUUCACUAGCGGAUAGGUGGUGGAAAGAUCCUCUAGAGGCCGCAUGAAGGGUUUGCUUAUCUUCCUUACUAAGGCCCUCAAAAAAGUGAAUUAGAAGAACUUCUUCUAGAAUAGAAAGUUUUGGGCCAGUGAGAGUAAGGUUAAUAAAGCGGUCCCAUGAUUUGCCAAGAGAUUCUUCUUCCAGUUGUCUAAAAGAAAGAAUCUCACACCGAAGUUCCACCACUUUGGAGAUUGGAAAAUAUUUAGAAAGAAAACUACUAUAUAACUCCUUCCAAUCUCCAUGAGCACUCCCUACUUUGAGGUUAUACCAAUGUCUAGCUUUUCCCGUUAAAGAGAACGGAAAGAGCUUCCAUUUAAGGGUCUCAUCGGACAUGCCUUCUAUGCGAAGGAGGUCACAGACUCGAUAAAACUCUCUUAGGUGUGUGUAUGGGUUUUCCUCACCUUCUCCUGAGAAAGGUUGUUUUUGAAUAAAUUCUAUGUAUUCGGGGUCUAUCUCAAAACUCGAUGCUAUGAUAGGCUUUGAAGAUUUUGGUGGUUCGAGAUGUGUGCCCAUAGGUCUAUGAAAUUCAUAGAUAGACAUGUUUGAAUUCAUAAUAGACCAGAGAUCAAGGAUUAGAUAAGAAGAAAGAAUAGCAGAGAUGAGGCAAAGGAUAAAAGGAAAAUAUUUUUUUUUUGUUAUAUAUUUUUUUUUAUAAAAUGAUUAAACUAGUUCGUAGUCAACUCAGCAACCGUUUCCCCGGCAACGGCGCCAAAAAUGCUUGUUGACACUUGCUAACACCACUUGAAUACUAGGUUGUCAUCCCCAGCAUGGCACUAGAGUGUACUAUGGUAUUUAUACGCAAACAGAUAAUCCGCAAGCGCACGGAUACCGUUGAAGCUUUUACCCGGUUAAAGGUUUUAUCGUAUCCACAGGGAAACGGGAGAACCAACUACGCUCUAACUUAACCAAGAUAGAUAGAUAGGUGUAAAUAGGAAAGUUGAUAGAAUCGAAUAAGAACAAUAUUAAAGGUAAGAUAACAGUGAGUGAUAAUAUGGGAAUAGAGAGUAGAGCAAUUCUAGUAUAUGGGCGAUGGUAGCAGAAUAGAGAGGAUAACUAUGGUUUCUCUACUUCAAAGGGGUAUGUCUAUGUCUGGGACGAACCACGUGAUAAGAGUACACCACAAAGGAUGCUUAUCCAUAGGCCGAUAAACCCUACCCGUCCUGCUAACGAGAGGUGGACUACAGGGGACCAACGUAACUGUCACCUACGCGGCCUACCACACGAUCCAGCUAGUCAGGGGAUAUCCACAAGUAAUCUAGGUCUAAGCACCACGCUUACACCUAUACUACAACUCUAACCUAUAGGGUCCUAUAGAUUAGAAGUACUCAAAAGAGUUGUGAACCAGAACAUACAUGAUUAGUAAUUGCAUAAUGAAUUAGAAGUAGAUUACCAGAGUCAUCCCAUGAGCAAGCUUGAUUAGAGCUUGAUCAUGGCGAAGUACAACCGAAGGAAGAACCGACAGGCCGGCCUCUCCUCUAAUCCUCCUUCGCUCUCCAUCUCGCUACUAUCUAGAUCUACUCUAGUUUAGAGAAGAGAGGAGAGCUCUCAUCUCUAAACCCUAGAUUUUGCUCUGUCUAUGAAUAAUGAAUAAUGAUCAAGGGGUGCCUCCUCCAGGGGCCAGGGGGUCUGGUUUUAUAGUCCCCUCAAGUGAACCUGGGCCGUCGGAUCAAACCGACAUUGAUUGAACGGUUAUUCUUGAUCCUUUAGGUCAGUGGAGCAUAAUCCGCGAGAUUGAGCGUGAUUGGCCACAGGAGGUGGGCGGGCGCCCAGUAGGACAGGGCGGGCGCCCUGUCUCUGGCCCCGUUUCGCCUCCGCUUCGGUCUCGUGGCUUCUGGAGUCUUCUAGAUGUAAGAUAAUUGUACGGCACGUUGAUAUCUCUAUGUAAUCCCGACGUGUGGGCCUUUCUUCCUUAUUUCCUGAUAACCCCCUACAGAAAUAGACAAACACCAAAACUCGUAGAAUUCUGUCAGAUAAAACCCUAAGUCUUGAUGUUGAUUUCAUUUGGAUCCUUUUCUUUGUUUAUUUGAUAGUUAAAUUUGAUACUUAAGGACCGUCAACAAACUCCCCCAAGCUUACCUCUUGCUCGUCCCUGAGAAUGGAUAGACUCAGCUAUGGAUCAUAAGUUGUUGCAAUAUCUUUAAAAAUUGACGGUACACAUGCUUUUAAAUGAAGUCUCAUCUCUGAGUUAGAGUAAACUGUCAAGACUUAAAACUUACUUACUUUACCUUUCACCAUGGGACUUGUAACCGUCACUUCUGUCUUGAGUGGUUAAAAGAUAGAACAGUCCCGUCAAGUGCCAUGUCUCUUAUUCUUGAUCAGCUAUAGCUCUGGAGUUUUUGUAGAUUUUCAAAUAAAACUCAGAGAUUCCUUUGUAUGACUCUCUCAUAUCUCUCUUUUGUGGUAUUUCUGGAUCCUUACCAAAGCAGUGAUGGUAUAUGCCUUCUCUCAAAAUAUGUGGUAUUUGUGGUAUAAGGCAUAGUGACAUUGCCUUCUCUCUCACCCUACUCUAAUAAGGCUUUAAUAUCUGGAGCUCAUAGGUGGGAGAUAAAGUAUACAUACUUACAAGACAUGUAUUGCAUAGUCAAACCAUGGAUCCAAAGAAACAAAUCAAUAAGCCAAAUCAAGAUGUGCAUGUGUGGCGAAUGAAUGGUGAUGAUGGUGAUAACAAUGGUGAAAGUCUAAUUCUACUUUUGCUCUUAUGAGGGGAUACAUACCUUCCUUGCUUUUUGAAACUUUAUGAGGAGAAUGAGAUGCUCUUCUUUUUGUUUCCUCUCAGGUGGGUAUCUUGUACCCCUAAUUCUACUGUCGGACACUUGUCCAUUUUUACCUCUCGUCUCACUUUUUCUUUCUUUCGAGGUUCCGGGCACUUGCCCCUUUUUAUUUCCUCGUUUAUUCUCAUUUUUUUUUCUUUUCUUCUCUUUUCUUCUUUUUUUUAGAGCACUCAUCUCCUGAAAUAAUGUAGCAAGUGGUAGUAACCAAAAUAACUAGAGCAUUUAUUUCACAGGGAAUAACAGGGAUAGGAAAAUGUUUUUGGUUAUUCUCUCCCGGAUUAGGAGUAGAAUGAUUUUGGGUGAAACUGGAGAUGGAAAUGGAUGGAUAUAUGCGGAUGGUACUUCCGGAGUAGAAGUAGCAUAUAUGAGUGAACGUGCAAGUGAAUCUUGAUUUAACCACAUGACAAGCUCCUAAGGGUCUACACAGCUUGACCACACUCAAUGCUCAUAAGCAGUAAAUAAAUGUGUGGCUCAAAGUCUAGCAAGCAUGUAUAUAUGGCUGUGGUAGGAAUUUAAACUUUCAUCAUACAGGAACUCAUCAUGCAAUAUUUUAAAGAUUUUUCAAAGAUAAAAUUCUCCAGAAUUCUAGCAUCUCUAGGAAUAGAUAAACAGCAGCUCAACCUUCCCAUAUCGUAUCCGUUAACAACUUAGACUUUAGAUCAAGUUUUCAUCCCACAAGUUUAGGUCUAGAGCAAGCUUUAAAUUAUAACAGUUAUAUCUAAACUUGAGAGAGAACUUAAAAUUUGCAAAUUAGGCAGAGCAGCUAUUCAUCAUAUCCAUGCUAGAGUUUUAUUAUUAAGAUUCAGAUUAGCAUAGCCACUUUAUUUAUUUAUUAAACACACUAAGCAAAAGAUAUAUAUAUAUAAGCACAAAAUCUUUAUUUGGUUUUUCAUAGUUUAUGUAUUUUAAUAUUAUAAUAUAAUAUAAGUAUAAAGAUAGGUAGAAAUACUUAGCGAGAUAAAUAGGGGUGCUCUCCCCCAAGCUGAAUUUUGAUGUAAUUUCUCUUAAUGUAGCUAGCAGGUGGCAGAGGUGUAUUUGAAAGUCAGCAGCAUUCUGACAGCGAUUAGAAUGUCCUCCAUCUGCUAGUCUUCUUGAUUCUUAAAUUCUGUGGAGCUCAAAUAGACAACAAAGCUUGUGGAACUAAUUAAGUGUUAGCAUAAAUAUCUAGCCUUCAUCACGUUGAGCUUCCUCAAUAAAUAUUACUCCCUGUUUUUAUAUUUUUAUUUUAUAAAGUAGAAAAGAAAUAUUUAUUUUAUUUUUAUGCCACCACAGUGAAGGUACUUAUGGGUUUUAUGCCAUUCGUAUACUCACAUGGGGCUUAGUAUUUUUUUAACAUUUUUAUUUUCUUUUCAAGAUAGCAUGAUUAACUAAUAAUCUAUUUAAGGAAAGUAAAUAAUUAAAUGGAAAAGGGAAUGCAGAAAGGAUAAAUAUGGAUAACUACCAAUCUUACCACUCCGCGAGGGUUCAAUGUUUUAAGUCUUCUUGUCAAGACUUCUCAUCGUGUUCAUUCUUCAGGUGCGUCAUUUGAUUCAGGUGCGGACCUUGACGUCUGCACCUUUUAAUACGGUGUCACCCAUGUUCUUCGUUUGCCCAGCAGUUCGAAUUGCGGUGUUAGCAGUAUCUUGCUCAGCGUGUUUGUGCUCGUAGUGUACCUGCUCAUAGAGACAAGGCAGAGAUCAAGUGCAUGGGCCCUGUUGGUGGAAAACACCAACAGAACCAAAAGUGUAUUUGUUCUUCUCUAACCUUAAGCAUAGUGAGCUAGACAAAGUUGAUGGAUAAUAAGUUCAUGAGUGUAGCACUUAUAACAUUUGUCAGAUCAGAUCACUCAACCUUAUGGAAAGAUAAUCUAUUUAUGUAUAUGUCUUUUUCUUUAUAUCUCUCAAUGAUUGAAUGUGUAACAUUUUAGCUCAUAUGAUUAGGAGUGUGGGAUCAUGGUGGUAGUACUAAGAACAAGGAUUAAAGGACUAAACAUGUUUAUUCAGAUGGGUUGGUUAAUCUAGAGUUGUAAAUCAUACACGUUUGUCUCUUUUAUUUAUAUGAACGCCAGAACUAAGGAGAAGCUUAUAAAAGUGAUAGUCAAGUACCUUAAGAUGUUACCUUGCUCGAAGAGUGAUGGUACAGUAUCAUCUUGUGGAAGCUUUCCUUUCUUAGCGGUUGUGCGUCGUGUUUGUGGCACCCUCCAUGGAUCAUCUCUCUAUGAUGAAUGAGCUAUGUCCUUCUUGUGCAAAUUGUUAAACUUCAUGUGUCACUCUCUUCGUCUCUGAUGUGAGUUUAUCUCAGGACUUCCCAAAUCGAUAUUGAAAGUUUUUCUGUGAGGGUUAGUCCGACAAAAUAUACCAAUAUCUACUCAAGCAGUUUUUUUUUAGUUCAAUAACCAAACUAGACUCCAUGUCUAAUCAGAUUAAGGAAGGCUAUUUAACCUAAGCACCAUGCUUAAUUUAAAUGCCAAUGGAAGUAUGGCGAGUACUUCCAAACCAACACUUGCUAGUAAAUAGACAAAGGUAGCAUGACAGCGUUUAUAGAGAUCUACUCAAGUGGAGAUGAAGUAGUGUGAUUAGUAUUUAACAAAUUGAGCAUGUCUCAAAGGUAGGGACAACCAGCAUAGCAACAUGGCAAAGGAUGUUUUUAUGUAAAGUACUCCCCCAAGCUUGAAUUUUGCAGAAUUCAAGUUUGGAUGAAUUUAAUUCAGUGUUGCAUGAUGAUUGGUUGGACAUACCUUGUGCUUGUCAUUCAUCCGAUCUUCUUGCUCCAAUCCUAGAAAGGUUAGUGACAAGAAUACCCGAAGGAAUAUUUUUUUUUUACAAUUAUCCUUAUAUGCUCAAUACACAAGGUAAUGUUGCAAAUAAUUAAAAGCUCGUGUUACAAUCUGAUCAAUGCUUAUUUUAAGACACUAAGCUUGUCCUUGGGAAACCAUCAGUUUAUGUUGGCGAAGUGGUUUCCCCUCCAACGCCAACCUAUAUCUAGAUCAACUCAACGAGAUCUGCAAUAUUUAUUAUAGACAUAUGCAUCGACAACCGCCCUUUUAAAGUUUUUAUAAAUAGAAAGGAAGAGGGGGUUGGAGAUCUCAAGUGUGGUGAUGUCGGAGAGACCAAUAGAUUGGGAAGAUGUUGCAUAUGAGCAUGGAGUAAACGAAGUGGCUAUGAAAUAAAUUCCAUGCUCAUUAAUGUUAUCUUCGUCUCUAAUCUGAAUGUUCGGAGUUUCUCCUGGAUUGGUCUCACCUAUGUCCUCUUCUGUAGUUGGAUGAAUCUCAUCUUCAAAGGGAGUCAAGAACUCACCAUUUGAAAUUGAGCCAAAGUCAGAACCCAUUAAGGCUUCUUCCUUAUCCAUCCAUUCUACACAUUCUAGCCAUUUAGAACUUGUGAUCAUGGAAGGGGAGUAGAUAGAAUUGUCUAUAUGGCUUAGCUCUCCUUCACUUGAUAUGUCAUCCUCGACUUCUUCAUGAUAGGAACCAGGAUAUUCUCUAAGAGAAACAUUAUUGCAAGGAUUUGAAUUAUCCCUGCUUGAAGGUCUCUUAUAGAACCAGAAGUCUAAACCAUCAGCAUCUAAAAGAUUUAAGGUUGGAACUCCUUCCUCUCUUGGAGAAUUUUGGGGUAUUGAUGGUUUAGGAUCGAUAGCUAAAGUUUGGGAUUGAAGUGGUUGUGAUCUGGCUAUCGAAACUUCUUCUUCUUGCCUAGGAACUGGUUAUUUCUCUUUCUCAGGGAUAUAAAAGCUAGGAGACUUUCCGCUCAUUAAAUCAAUCAAAUUCCAAGCUUCACUAGCGGAUAGGUGGUGGAAAGAUCCUCCAGAGGCCGCAUGAAGGGUUUGCUUAUCUUCCUUACUAAGGCCCUAAAAAAAGUGAAUUAGAAGAACUUCUUCUAGAAUAGAAAGUUUUGGGCCAGUGAGAGUAAGGUUAAUAAAGCGGUCCCAUGAUUUGCCAAGAGAUUCUUCUUCCAGUUGUCUAAAAGAAAGAAUCUCACGCCGAAGUUCCACCACUUUGGAGAUUGGAAAAUAUUUAGAAAGAAAACUACUAUAUAACUCCUUCCAAUCUCCAUGAACACUCCCUACUUUGAGGUUAUACCAAUGUCUAGCUUUUCCCGUUAAAGAGAACGGAAAGAGCUUCCAUUUAAGGGUCUCAUCGGACAUGCCUUCUAUGCGAAGGAGGUCACAGACUCGAUAAAACUCUCUUAGGUGUGUGUAUGGGUUUUCCUCACCUUCUCCUGAGAAAGGUUGUUUUUUAAUAAAUUCUAUGUAUUCGGGGUCUAUCUCAAAACUCGAUGCUAUGAUAGGCUUUGAAGAUUUUGGUGGUUCGAGAUGUGUGCCCAUAGGUCUAUGAAAUUCAUAGAUAGACAUGUUUGAAUUCAUAAUAGACCAGAGAUCAAGGAUUAGAUAAGAAGAAAGAAUAGCAGAGAUGAGGCAAAGGAUAAAAGGAAAAUAAUUUUUUUUGUUAUAUAUUUUUUUUUAUAAAAUGAUUAAACUAGUUCGUAGUCAACUCAGCAACCGUUUCCCCAGCAACGGCGCCAAAAAUGCUUGUUGACACUUGCUAACACCACUUGAAUACUAGGUUGUCAUCCCCAGCAUGGCACUAGAGUGUACUAUGGUAUUUAUACGCAAACAGAUAAUCCGCAAGCGCACGGAUACCGUUGAAGCUUUUACCCGGUUAAAGGUUUUAUCGUAUCCACAGGGAAACGGGAGAACCAACUACGCUCUAACUUAACCAGGAUAGAUAGAUAGGUGUAAAUAGGAAAGAUGAUAGAAUCGAAUAAGAACAAUAUUAAAGGUAAGAUAACAGUGAGUGAUAAUAUGGGAAUAGAGAGUAGAGCAAUUCUAGUAUAUGGGCGAUGGUAGCAGAAUAGAGAGGAUAACUAUGGUUUCUCUACUUCAAAGGGGUAUGUCUAGGUCUGGGACGAACCACGUGAUAAGAGUACACCACAAAGGAUGCUUAUCCAUAGGCCGAUAAACCCUACCCGUCCUGCUAACGAGAGGUGGACUACAGGGGACCAACGUAACUGUCACCUACGCGGCCUACCACACGAUCUAGCUAGUCAUGGGAUAUCCACAAGUAAUCUAGGUCUAAGCACCACGCUUACACCUAUACUACAACUCUAACCUAUAGGGUCCUAUAGAUUAGAAGUACUCAAAAGAGUUGUGAACCAGAACACACAUGAUUAGUAAUUGCAUAAUGAAUUAGAAGUAGAUUACCAGAGUCAUCCCAUGAGCAAGCUUGAUUAGAGCUUGAUCAUGACGAAGUACAACCGGAGGAAGAACCGACAGGCCGGCCUCUCCUCUAAUCCUCCUUCGCUCUCCAUCUCGCUACUAUCUAGAUCUACUCUAGUUUAGAGAAGAGAGGAGAGCUCUCAUCUCUAAACCCUAGCUUUUGCUCUGUCUAUGAAUAAUGAAUAAUGAUCAAGGGGUGCCUCCUCCAGGGGCCAGGGGGUCUGGUUUUAUAGUCCCCUCAAGUGAACCUGGGCCGUCGGAUCAAACCGACAUUGAUUGAACGGUUAUUCUUGAUCCUUUAGGUCGGUGGAGCAUAAUCCGCGAGAUUGAGCGUGAUUGGCCACAGGAGGUGGGCGGGCGCCCAGUAGGACAGGGCGGGCGCCCUGUCUCUGGCCCCGUUUCGCCUCCGCUUCGGUCUUGUGGCUUCUGGAGUCUUCUAGAUGUAAGAUAAUUGUACGGCACGUUGAUAUCUCUAUGUAAUCCCGACGUGUGGGCCUUUCUUCCUUAUUUCCUGAUAACCCCCUACAGAAAUAGACAAACACCAAAACUCGUAGAAUUCUGUCAGAUAAAACCCUAAGUCUUGAUGUUGAUUUCAUUUGGAUCCUUUUCUUUGUUUAUUUGAUAGUUAAAUUUGAUACUUAAGGACCG